rnacentral:rRNA from 1 species
UACGGGGGGGGCAAGCGUGGUUCGGAAUUACUGGGCGUAAAGGGCUCGUAGGCGGCCAACUAAGUCAGACGUGAAAUCCCUCGGCUUAACCGGGGAACUGCGUCUGAUACUGGAUGGCUUGAGAUUGGGAGAGGGAUGCGGAAUUCCAGGUGUAGCGGUGAAAUGCGUAGAUAUCUGGAGGAACACCGGUGGCGAAGGCGGCAUCCUGGCCCAACACUGACGCUGAGGAGCGAAAGCCAGGUGAGCAAACGGG